CAGGCUUAACACAUGCAAGUCGAGGGGCAGCAUGGUCUUAGCUUGCUAAGGCCGAUGGCGACCGGCGCACGGGUGAGUAACACGUAUCCAACCUGCCGUCUACUCUUGGACAGCCUUCUGAAUGGAAGAUUAAUACAAGAUGGCAUCAUGAGUCCGCAUGUUCACAUGAUUAAAGGUAUUCCGGUAGACGAUGGGGAUGCGUUCCAUUAGAUAGUAGGCGGGGUAACGGCCCACCUAGUCUUCGAUGGAUAGGGGUUCUGAGAGGAAGGUCCCCCACAUUGGAACUGAGACACGGUCCAAACUCCUACGGGAGGCAGCAGUGAGGAAUAUUGGUCAAUGGGCGAGAGCCUGAACCAGCCAAGUAGCGUGAAGGAUGACUGCCCUAUGGGUUGUAAACUUCUUUUAUAAAGGAAUAAAGUCGGGUAUGGAUACCCGUUUGCAUGUACUUUAUGAAUAAGGAUCGGCUAACUCCGUGCCAGCAGCCGCGGUAAUACGGAGGAUCCGAGCGUUAUCCGGAUUUAUUGGGUUUAAAGGGAGCGUAGAUGGAUGUUUAAGUCAGUUGUGAAAGUUUGCGGCUCAACCGUAAAAUUGCAGUUGAUACUGGAUAUCUUGAGUGCAGUUGAGGCAGGCGGAAUUCGUGGUGUAGCGGUGAAAUGCUUAGAUAUCACGAAGAACUCCGAUUGCGAAGGCAGCCUGCUAAGCUGCAACUGACAUUGAGGCUCGAAAGUGUGGGUAUCAAACAGGAUUAGAUACCCUGGUAGUCCACACGGUAAACGAUGAAUACUCGCUGUUUGCGAUAUACUGCAAGCGGCCAAGCGAAAGCGUUAAGUAUUCCACCUGGGGAGUACGCCGGCAACGGUGAAACUCAAAGGAAUUGACGGGGGCCCGCACAAGCGGAGGAACAUGUGGUUUAAUUCGAUGAUACGCGAGGAACCUUACCCGGGCUUAAAUUGCAGAUGAAUUACGGUGAAAGCCGUAAGCCGCAAGGCAUCUGUGAAGGUGCUGCAUGGUUGUCGUCAGCUCGUGCCGUGAGGUGUCGGCUUAAGUGCCAUAACGAGCGCAACCCUUGUUGUCAGUUACUAACAGGUUCCGCUGAGGACUCUGACAAGACUGCCAUCGUAAGAUGUGAGGAAGGUGGGGAUGACGUCAAAUCAGCACGGCCCUUACGUCCGGGGCUACACACGUGUUACAAUGGGGGGUACAGAGGGCCGCUACCACGCGAGUGGAUGCCAAUCCCCAAAACCUCUCUCAGUUCGGACUGGAGUCUGCAACCCGACUCCACGAAGCUGGAUUCGCUAGUAAUCGCGCAUCAGCCACGGCGCGGUGAAUACGUUCCCGGGCCUUGUACACACCGCCCGUCAAGCCAUGGGAGCCGGGGGUACCUGAAGUGCGUAACCGCGAGGAGCGCCCUAGGGUAAAACUGGUGACUGGGGC
rnacentral:rRNA from 1 species